rnacentral:rRNA from 1 species
UACGAAGGGGGCUAGCGUUGCUCGGAAUUAUUGGGCGUAAAGAGCGUGUAGGCGGUCCGGUAAGUCCGCUGUGAAAGUCGGGGGCUCAACCCUCGAAUGCCGGUGGAUACUGUCGGGCUAGAGUGCGGAAGAGGCGAGUGGAAUUCCUGGUGUAGCGGUGAAAUGCGCAGAUAUCAGGAGGAACACCUAUUGCGAAGGCAGCUCGCUGGGACGUAACUGACGCUGAGACGCGAAAGCGUGGGGAGCAAACAGG